rnacentral:rRNA from 1 species
AUUGAACGCUGGCGGUAGGCCCAACACAUGCAAGUCGAGCGGAUGCAGGGUACUUGCUUCUGCUUUCGGGUGCGGAGGGGCGGACAGUUCCUAGAAACCUGGGUGUUUACUUUUUCUAACGUGCGGACACGGGGACACUUACGCUAAUAGCCCUUAGGAACUACGGGUGGAAGCUGCGGAUCUUCGGAUCUUACACGAUUCUAUGACCGGAGGUCGGAUUAGCUAGUUGGCGGGGUAAAGGCCCACCAAGGCGACGAUCCGUAGCUGGUCUGAGAGGAUGAUCAGUCACACUGGAACUGAGACACGGUCCAGACUCCUACGGGAGGCAGCAGUGGGGAAUAUUGGACAAUGGGCGCAAGCCUGAUCCAGCCAUACCGCGUGGGUGAAGAAGGUCUUCGGGUUGUAAAGCCCUUUUGGUGGGAAAGAAAAGCAGCAAGUUAAUACCUCGCUGUUCUGACGUUACCAAAAGAAUAAGCACCGGCUAACUUCGUG